CCAGGUCCCCUUGGGCUCUCUUUUUCCUGCCUGCCAAGAGAUGAGCUGCUUUGCUGGGCUGAAGGCAUCCUGCUAUGAUGCUGCAUGGUUUAAAGGACCUCUCUCUCUCUGUGUGUGUGUGUGUGUGUGUGUGUGUGUGUGUGUGUGUGUGUGUGUGUCUGUGUGUGUGUGUGUCUGUGUGUCUGUGUGUAUACACAUCAUGAAGCCUAGGCUACUCUUUAGUUUCCUGUGUAGCCAACGCUGACCUUGGCCUUCUUAUCCUCCAAAGUGAUGGGAUUAUAGACACGGUCUCCAUGUCUGCUUUAUGCACUUAGAGGAAUCUUUCAGAAAAGACAUCUAAUCUGCCCUGGUCUCCAGAUUGUGCACCCAGUCCAUGCAAAUAAAAAGAAGCCCAGAAGUCUGUCUCAUAGCUCUGGAAUCUCAUGUUUUGCAAAAAAUAUGUCCAGAAGAGAUAAAGGGAAUGUUCAAAACCCAAAUCUGUGUGAAACU
rnacentral:lncRNA from 1 species